rnacentral:rRNA from 1 species
GAUGAACGCUGGCGGCGUGCCUAAUACAUGCAAGUCGAGCGAACAGAUAAGGAGCUUGCUCCUUUGACGUUAGCGGCGGACGGGUGAGUAACACGUGGAUAACCUACCUAUAAGACUGGGAUAACUUCGGGAAACCGGAGCUAAUACCGGAUAACAUAUUGAACCGCAUGGUUCAAUAGUGAAAGGCGGCUUUGCUGUCACUUAUAGAUGGAUCCGCGCCGUAUUAGCUAGUUGGUAAGGUAACGGCUUACCAAGGCAACGAUACGUAGCCGACCUGGGAGGGUGAUCGGCCACACUGGAACUGAGACACGGUCCAGACUCCUACGGGAGGCAGCAGUAGGGAAUCUUCCGCAAUGGGCGAAAGCCUGACGGAGCAACGCCGCGUGAGUGAUGAAGGUCUUCGGAUCGUAAAACUCUGUUAUCAGGGAAGAACAAAUGUGUAAGUAACUGUGCACAUCCUGACGGUACCUGAUCAGAAAGCCACGGCUAACUACGUG